UGGUGGAGUUCCACAACACAUGUUCCUCUCAUCGAUAUGUUCGACUUCAAGUCCAAUAAACCAAGCCCCGAGUGACACAUCUUCAUUGGCAUACUUGUGUAGUAUAGCCUGAUUAAUUGAGAUGUAUGUCGCCAGAUCCUUCGAAAUGGCAUAGAUCUGCCCGGUUGCAUGUCGGAAGUACUUAUUCCCUUCCUCCCCAAAUUUCCAGUAUUCUGGCUCGUGAUACUUGGUAUUCUUCUGAGCGAGAACUGGACCAG
rnacentral:misc_RNA from 1 species